rnacentral:ncRNA from 1 species
CACGCGAAAACCGAAAAGCGAAAACAGAGUAGGCA